AAUGGGGGACCUGANGCCGCCACCCCCGUGGAGGAAGAAGGCCUNCNGAUUGUAACCNCCUGUUGUUGAGGAAGAUAAUGNCGGUCCNCACCAAGGAAGUGNCGGCUANCUNCGUGCCACCACCCCCGGUAAANCGUAGGUCNCAAGCCGUUGNCCGGAAUUNCUGGGUGUAAAGGGAGCCCCAGGCCGGGAAGACAAGUUGGAAGUGAAANCUAUGGGCCUCACCCCAUAANCUGCCUUUCAAAACUGUUUUUCUUGAGUAGUGCCAGAGGUAGGCCGGAAUUCCCGGUGUAGCCGGUGGAAUGCCGUAGAUAUCGGGAGGANCNCCAGUGGCCGAAGGCCGGCCCUACUGGGCCCCCANCUGACGCCUGAGGCCNCGAAAGUGUGGGUANCAAACAGGAUUAGAUNCCCUGGUAGUCCCAAGGGCGAAUUC
rnacentral:rRNA from 1 species